GUGGAAAUGGCAGUGAUGACCAGGACAACUGUCAAGCUCGUGUGGAGGCGGCGGCGGAGGGAUUCCUCUAUCUGUUUGUCUGCAGAAUCAGCAAGAGGAUGAGGGCUCAUGUGACUUUGAGCAUCAUUCCUGUGGAUGGAAAAGUAUCAGUCAAGAUUCCUUCCACUGGAAGCUGCAGAUGGCAAACGUCACCUUGGUACCCGGACAGGACCACACCAAAGGAAGUCCAUGGGGACAUGUCAUGCACGUAGACAGCACACAAGAAGGGGGUAUGUUAGCCAAGGCUAUUUUGGAGUAUACUGUUGACAAUGCAGCAGCUCUUGGAUGUCAAAUCAG